rnacentral:rRNA from 1 species
AUUGAACGCUGGCGGCAGGCCUAACACAUGCAAGUCGAGCGAGCGGCGGACGGGUGAGUAAUGUCUGGGAAACUGCCUGAUGGAGGGGGAUAACUACUGGAAACGGUAGAUAAUACCACAUACCAUCAGAUGUGCCCAGAUGGGAUUAGCUAGGAGGUGGGGUAACGGCUCACCUAGGCGACGAUCCCUAGCUGGUCUGAGAGGAUGACCAGCCACACUGGAACUGAGCUACGGUCCGGACUACUACGGGAGGCAGCAGUGGGGAAUAUUGCACAAGUGGAGCAAGCUUGAUGCAGCCAUGCCGCGUGUGUGAAGGAGGCCAGCGUGUUGUAAAGCACUUUCAGCGGGGAGGCGUUACCCGCUGAAGAAGCACCGGCUAACUCCGUGCCAGCAGCCGCGGUAAUUC